AUGAGCAGGAAAGAGCUACUCCUUCCAUGUCAGACUUGCUUUCUCAUCCAGCAGCCCUCCUUCAGAUGCACAGCCUGUCAGCUCCUCAUGACUCUGCUUGAAGCUAUAGUGCUGAAAUUGGGACACCAGCUGAAUGAUCCUACUGGACCUCCGCUCCACUCCAGUCCUUCAAGGAAAAAGGCCACUUACAUCAUUAAAGGAUGUUCCUGACUAGUCUCACUCUGGACCAAAGGCCCAAGUGCAGCUAUCAGACAAAAAGYGAAACACAGGAGCACUCCACUCAGAUCUGCUCCUCACCCUGUGUCCUCUCAUCCUCGCCGUGAGAGACUCUGCUAUGGCAAAACGUCUUCUUCCAGGAGAGGGCAGUGGUGCCCACAUGCACACUCCUCCAGUCUCUGCUGUCCUGCUGACUUAGUGGAAAGAUAAUUUUCCUCAUGUCUUGCAUGAGCAAAGAAAAGGGUAAGCAGAGUAUAAAUUUAAUACAUAUGGUAGAAACCAUGUACUGGAAUAUCCAGGAAAUGUUCUGUGCAUUUAAUAAUGAGAAUGAGUUGUCUGGAAAAAAUAGAUUUAAGGCAAAUGAGUUUGUUAUUGCUUUUAUUUAACUGGAAGUUUUCUCUGUUACAUGUAUUUGUUUACAGCUACACAAAUUUAAACUAGU
rnacentral:lncRNA from 1 species